ACGGUAGAAUGGGAAAAGCACGCGGCGCGGCGGCGUAGCUAUGGAACGGCGGCGGCGUGUCUUCGCUGGUGGGGAGCGGAAAGGAAGCGAGCAGCCAGAUAUGGUGGCCGCGCCAGUGGGCACCGUUACCGUCGUAACGUCAAGUCUAGGCUAGCGUCGGUUGGAUCAUGACGACCAAAGGGGACCUCGGCGCACGAAAGAUAUUUGAGCUCGCAACCGGGAGACUGUUGCAAAGGAUAAAAUGCUUGGAGGUAUGCACGCGAGCAUAACAAGGGCCAGCAUCCAGCCUCUAAUGAAUCCGAUGAUAAAGCCACCGACGAAGGUUGUCAAAAGCUGUAUGUACUUCCCUACCUUAACAUGAGAAGUCAAGUUUUUUAGUGUUGUACAUAAGGCUUUUUUCUUAAGUUGGUUAGGUGGUCGUCUGUCCCACGCUAAAGCACAGGCCUAAGGCCCGGCAUCGGUUGCGGUCGUUCUCACAUGGGCUUCGAUGCCGCUAUGUAUGGGAAGGGUAGAGGUUCGGGGGAGGUGUGAGAAAGUAUUUUUCUUAAUACAAUACUCGAGGGUUGUCUUAUCCCUGCAGGUCGAGUUUUUAUGUUGUAGACAUGAAAGACCCUUUAAUGGAAACUAGGCAUACUUUUGUUUCUUU